GAUGAAGAACGUAGCGAAAUGCGAUAAGUAAUGUGAAUUGCAGAAUUCAGUGAAUCAUCGAGUCUUUGAACGCACAUUGCGCCCCCUGGUAUUCCGGGGGGCAUGCCUGUCCGAGCGUCAUUGCUGCCCUCAAGCACGGCUUGUGUGUUGGGCCUCCGUCCUCCUCCCGGGGGACGGGCCCGAAAGGCAGCGGCGGCACCGCGUCCGGUCCUCGAGCGUAUGGGGCUUCGUCACCCGCUCUUGUAGGCCCGGCCGGCGCUUGCCGACACAUCAAUCUUUUUUCCAGGUUGACCUCGGAUCAGGUAGGGAUACCCGCUGAACUUAAGCAUAUCAUAGCGGAGGA
rnacentral:misc_RNA from 1 species